GAUGAAGAACGUAGCGAAAUGCGAUAAGUAAUGUGAAUUGCAGAAUUCAGUGAAUCAUCGAAUCUUUGAACGCAACUUGCGCCCUCUGGUAUUCCGGAGGGCAUGCCUGCUUGAGUGUCAUGUAGACUCAAUCCCUCGGGUUUCUGAGGAGGUUGGAUUUGGGUGCUUGCCUUCUGGCUCGCCUUAAAGGACUUAGCAGGAUAGCACUGUAGUCGACGUAAUAAGUCUCGUCGGUGAAAGUGUGAUGUCUGCUUACAGAUUGCCCUUGGGCACUUUUGACUCUGACCUCAAAUCAGGUAGGACUACCCGCUGAACUUAAGCAUAUCAAUAAGCGGAGGA
rnacentral:misc_RNA from 1 species